rnacentral:tRNA from 1 species
GGGUCGCUAGCUCAAUUGGCAGAGCUCCGGACUUUUAAUCCGUAGGUUGUGGGUUCGAGUCCCACGCGACCCACCC